rnacentral:rRNA from 1 species
UACAGAGGGGGCAAGCGUUGUUCGGAAUUACUGGGCGUAAAGGGCGCGUAGGCGGCCUUCUAAGUCGAACGUGAAAUCCCCGGGCUUAACCUGGGAACUGCAUUGGUGACUGGCAGGCUUUGAGUGUGGCAGAGGGAGGUAGAAUUCCACGUGUAGCAGUGAAAUGCGUAGAGAUGUGGAGGAAUACCGAUGGCGAAGGCAGCCUCCUGGGCCAACACUGACGCUCAU